UUGGCUCGCGAAGGGCUGACAUCCGUUUUGAUGGAUGAACCUUGCCCCCUAAAGGCACGCCGGGCUUACCGCCAGGGAAAACCCAGGUCACAUGACUAGUCUUAAAGUGGCCACCAUUUGACACUACUGGUUGCCAACUGUUGGAAGAAACAGGGGAACUUGGAGCAGAGUCACAGUCACCGUUGUUUGAAAAGUUCUUCAUCAUCUUCAGUGGUUUGGGAGAACUAAGUUCAGCACGGAAGACUAGCUCUAAAAUAAUGUAAGUAACAUGAUGGCAGAAAUCUGUGGUUGUUUUUUCACUUCUCUACUUCAGUGCCUAGAACUAUGCUUAACACACAAAAGAUGUUUGAAUGUUUUGCUACAUGAA